ACAAGGUCUCUUGAGCGAAGCAGUUUCUCAUGUACCGCGGCGGGCGCAAUGCUGCUGCCCAGGAUCUCUGGCCACCGGGACAAUCAUAGAGGACAUCAAAAAAACCUUAGACAGAUUGAGGGGGAUGGCAAUAGGAAGAAAGGUGCUGCAGCUGCCCAAAAUCGACGUUGACGUCUACAUUGACGCAGACAGUCCUCUCGCCGUCAAUUUCUCACGUUGCCCUUUCGAGACGGACCUAUGCAUCGUGGAGUGCUACAAUAAAAACAAGACAAAGCCCAUCAGAGGGCACUGCGGAGGAAUCUUAUGGUUCAAGUGCGUCUGUGAAGGAGAUUACAAGAAAUAAAAACGAGGUACUCGCAA